rnacentral:rRNA from 1 species
AGUGAACGCUGGCGGUAGGCCUAACACAUGCAAGUCGAACGGCAGCACAGUAAGAGCUUGCUCUUACGGGUGGCGAGUGGCGGACGGGUGAGGAAUACAUCGGAAUCUACUUUUUCGUGGGGGAUAACGUAGGGAAACUUACGCUAAUACCGCAUACGACCUACGGGUGAAAGCAGGGGAUCUUCGGACCUUGCGCGAUUGAAUGAGCCGAUGUCGGAUUAGCUAGUUGGCGGGGUAAAGGCCCACCAAGGCGACGAUCCGUAGCUGGCCUGAGAGGAUGAUCGGCCACACUGGAACUGGGACACGGUCCAGACUCCUACGGGAGGCAGCAGUGGGGAAUAUUGGACAAUGGGCGCAAGCCUGAUCCAGCCAUACCGCGUGGGUGAAGAAGGCCUUCGGGUUGUAAAGCCCUUUUGUUGGGAAAGAAAAGCAGCAGGUUAAUACCCCGCUGUUCUGACGGUACCCAAAGAAUAAGCACCGGCUAACUUCGUG